rnacentral:rRNA from 1 species
UACAGAGGGUGCGAGCGUUGUCCGGAAUCACUGGGCGUAAAGGGCGCGUAGGUGGCGCUGCAAGUCGGUGGUGAAAGCUCGCCGCUUAACGGCGAGUCGGCCAUCGAAACUGCAGGGCUCGAGCACUGUAGGGGCUAAUGGAAUUCCGGGUGUAGCGGUGGAAUGCGUAGAGAUCCGGAAGAACACCAGUGGCGAAGGCGGCUUGCUGGGCCAGUUCUGACGCUGAGGAGCGAAAGCGUGGGGAGCGAACAGG